rnacentral:rRNA from 1 species
ACGAACGCUGGCGGCGGGCUUAACACCUGCAAGUCGAACGGAAAGGACCUGCAGUUGGGGGGUGCGCGGGUGGCGAACGGGGGAGUAACAAGUGAGUAACCUGCCCUUGACUUGGGGAGAACUUCAGGAAACAGGGGCUAAUACCGGAGAGGAACUCAUGCUGCAGGGUGGGGGUUGGAAAGAUUCGGCGGUUGGGGAUGGACUCGCGGCGUAUCAGCUUGUUGGUGGGGGAGGGGCUUACCAAGGCUUUGAAGGGUAGCCGGCCUGAGAGGGUGACCGGCCACAUUGGGACUGAGAUACGGCCCAGACUCCUACGGGAGGCAGCAGUGGGGAAUAUUGCACAAUGGGCGGCAGCCUGAUGCAGCAACGCCGCGUGCAGGAUGACGGCCUUCGGGUUGUAAACCGCUUUCGCCUGUGACGAAGCGUGAGUGACGGUAAUGGGUAAAGAAGCACCGGCUAAAUACGUG